rnacentral:rRNA from 1 species
AUUGAACGCUGGCGGCAGGCCUAACACAUGCAAGUCGAGCGGAGCGGCGGACGGGUGCGUAAUGCCUAGGAAUCUUCCUGGUCGUGGGGGAUAACGUCCGGAAACGGGCGCUAAUACCGCAUACUAUCAGAUGAGCCUAGGUCGGAUUGGCUUGUUGGUGGGGUAAAGGCCUACCAAGGCGACGAUCCGUAACUGGUCUGAGAGGAUGAUUAGUACAACUGGAACUGAGACCGGGUCCAUACUCCUACGGGAGGCAGAAGUGGGGAAUAUUGGACAAUGGGCGAAAGCCUGCGCAAGCCAUGCCGCUUGUGUGAAGAAGGUCUUCGGAUUUUAAAGCACUUUAAGUUGGGAGGCGUUACCAACAGAAUAAGCAACGGCUAACUUCGUGCCAGCAGCCGCGGUAAUAC